rnacentral:rRNA from 1 species
GGGGAUCGAAAGACCUUCCUGCUUUGGAGCGGCCGAUGUCUGAUUAGCUAGUUGNGUGGGUAAUGGCUUACCAAGGNCGACGAUCAGUAGUUGGUCUGAGAGGACGACCAGCCACACUGGGACUGAGACACGGCCCAGACUCCUACGGGAGGCAGCAGUGGGGAAUUUUGGACAAUGGGCGCAAGCCUGAUCCAGCAAUGCCGCGUGAGUGAAGAAGGCCUUCGGGUUGUAAAGCUCUUUCAGUUGAAAAGAAAAAGCCGUGACUAAUAAUCAUGGUUCAUGACGGUAUCAACAGAAGAAGCACCGGCUANCUACGUGCCAGCAGCCGCGGUAAUACGUAGGGUGCAAGCGUUAAUCGGAAUUACUGGGCGUAAAGGGUGCGCAGGCGGUUCNUGUAAGUCAGAUGUGAAAUCCCCGGGCUUAACCUGGGAACUGCGUUUGAAA